ACCUUAGAGAACAAUCUCAGAACUCUCUCGCCUCUCUCUUUCACCUCCACCGUCUGUCGUCCGCCGCCGGCGGAAAUCGCUCCGUGGCGGCGGCGGCACUCCAAACACCCUCAAAAUUUCAUCAAAUACCUCCCCCCCCCUCUCCAAAUCCUUUGAUUUCUCCAUUCAAAACCCUCUGGUUGUUGAAGAAUUCCAGAUCCAUGAAUCUAAACCCGAGCCGCCCAAAAAUCAUCUCUGGUGACACCACUCCAAACCCCCUCAAAUUCACACCCUAUACUCCUCUCUCCAUCCUCAAUACAAACUUACCUCCAAUUUCCCCAAUACGACCAAACUGCUCCAAUUCUAAAUCCAAAAUUGAACCCUAGCCUCUUGCCCCUUUUCAAAUACUCGACCAAUUUCACCAUAUUUAUGUUUGAAAUUUACAUCAAUUGAAAGCUCUUAAUAAAAGCUAUCUACUGAUGUAAGAUUCACAUCGUAUCUCGGAGAUUGCAUUUUGGUCUAAGCCGUAUUUGGUCGUCGAAUUUUCGUCGGAAUUCUAUGUUCGCUUUCUCUUAAAGAUUAAUAGGUACACUCCUAUGAUUCUGUACAACUCUGAUCUUUAGCAUAAUCAAAGUUUUCUGUUUUAAUAUGGAUUUAUGACUGUUUGUUGCUCUUACAUGAUCUUAUGUCUGUUUGUAAGUUGAUUGGUCGAUACUUGAACUUAUCUCCUUGACAUAGUCUUUGUUUUAGAUAAAACAAAAUGGUAAUAUUAGCUAGAGUAUGAUUGUUAGUUAAGUUUGGUUUCCUGAAGCAUAAGUAUGUCUUACUACAUUCGUAGGGCUAUUACUUUGCUUAAUAUUACUUGAUAAAAUUGAAAUUUAUGUUUUCAAAAUCAUUUAGCCUAUAAGCACAUUUGUUGUCUGUGUAAAGAUGAGAAGCAUCACAUUGCAGUCAAAAGUAUUUGGGAAGUUCAAAUUAUAUGUGAUUUAUUUAUUAAAGCCCUGGAUGUUUGAGAUUAAAUUGUCUAAUUCCAAAAGACAUGAGAAGAAGCAGUUUAGUUUGGUAACAACACUUAAGUCCAGUAUGUAUAAAGGAUGGUUAAUUAUUGUUAACUCAGAAUUUGCAAAAAUAUUGGUGUAAUAGAUUAAGUCUAUAGUUUUAUUUUGUAAAAGUCGAGCAGAUAUGGUUAAGAAGCAUUAGAUUCCAAACUUCAGAACUGAAAAAUUUAAUUGUCGCAUCUGCUUGUAGUUAAUAAGCAUUUCCUUUAAAAUUUUAGCCUGUUGUAUUUAAUUACAAGCCAAAACUGAAUUAUAAUGUCAUUAAUGUUGAUUCUCUGAAAAGUAAGACUUUGAAAA